rnacentral:rRNA from 1 species
UACAGAGGGGGCAAGCGUUGUUCGGAAUUACUGGGCGUAAAGGGCGCGUAGGCGGCCGCCUAAGUCAGACGUGAAAUCCCUCGGCUCAACCGGGGAACUGCGUCUGAUACUGGGUGGCUUGAAUCCGGGAGAGGGAUGCGGAAUUCCAGGUGUAGCGGUGAAAUGCGUAGAUAUCUGGAGGAACACCGGUGGCGAAGGCGGCAUCCUGGACCGGUAUUGACGCUGAGGCGCGAAAGCCAGGGGAGCAAAGCGGGG